UAUUUUCCACCGCAGCCGAGCAGUAGAUUUCUUCUUCUACAUACUGAGUUCUUCUUUUGGUUCUCCGGCACUGCCACCACCACCAUUACCACCAGGAUCUAUACCUUCAUCUGCUUCUCCUUCUUCUUUUCCUUUUCAGUUUGUCGUGAAGGGAUUUGUUAAAUCUUUUGUAUGGUUCGCAGAACUUCAAGAGGAAAAUAUUGUAGUUCUUCUAAGAGGGAAAAUUUUAUAAGUCUCGCUAAAGAAUAUGAUAUGGUUGAAUGGGUGGACAAUAGAACUCAGGUGGUCAUUGUCGUAAAGAAACAACGCCAACCUUCAGUAUAUCUGCUACAAAAAGGAUGGUCACCCUUAUGUAUAUGGAAAGAACUAUAGGACUUAUUGAUAACAAGCUGCAUCUCUGCAGCGCUGAGGACACUGGCGCGAUGUAUACUAAGGGAUUUUCCAGGAUCAGCACUAUCAAACAAGUGAAUUGACUGAGCUUGGCCAUACUGACAGAGAUCAAUUUGUGUUCGCUGCUCCUCACCCAACACCCGCUAUAGUAUUCCCUCAUGUAGCAGCGACAUGGUGGCUAGAACAGUGAAGAUUCAACAGCUCAGACGAAACAUCGGUCGAGAGAGAGAUGUGAAAAAACCGGUAAGAGUGAUGGACAUUGCCAACAGCAGUCCCGUUCACAUAUUACCAAGCGAUCCAGAUCGGAAGCACAAAAAGCACGCUGGGAGAACAACUCACAGUGAUGGCUAUCACGGACAACAAAACAAUACACGGAUCUCGCUCAACUGCUCAGAAAGCACGCCAAAGUAGGAUAGCACAACAGCGCCAGGAGGAGAAGGAUGAGAACCAGGUAUGGAUAUGGAUCUGAAAGUUCCACAUUCUGGCAUGUGUGGGAUUGCUCAGUUGGGUUCAAGGGGUGCACCGUUACUGACUUUACACUAAUAGUUUAAUGCUAGGAAUUAAACUUGGUCUCUCAUGUUUUUGAGUUUCUUUAGUUCGUUUGGUCGUUCCCUACCGGAGUAAAAACGGUGGUACCAUAAAGUUCAAUUUUGAUGCACAUAUUUCAUACAUUGAAUUGAAAUCUGGAUAUGGGAAAGCAUUGUUCAUCUUCCAAUCUAUUAUGAUUACAGAAUAUUCAAGGAGAAGAUGAUAUAGUAAGAUGAUGCAUAAAGAAGAGCAAGUUGAGAAGUCAUUCGCACAUUGCCACCCAAGUUUCCCGGGGAAGGAUGGAAAAGGCAAAGCAAGGGAGAUCACAGUGGUAAUGCCAAUUGAAGAAUGCAUUAGGAAACUUCAUUGAGAUGAUCAAGUAUCUGAAAAGUUUCAAGGUGUGGGGAACUUCUAAGGAUACUUGCAACAUCCAUCGCAUAUGCCCACCAUGAAAAAUUAUCGAAGGAUGAUGAAGGUUUUCUUAUGUCUCUCUACUAUAAUCUGUUUCAUCAAUCAUUAUGCAUAUUUUAUCAGGACGUGAGGCAAAGGAAGAUUUUUCCUUGGUAAGAUGUAGAUGAUCAACCAAGUCAUGUUCUUUAGCGAUUGAAGUAAUAGUGUAAGAGGAAAGUGCAGGUAUGAAUUGUACUCCAUCCCUUUGGCUGUCUUAGCUCAACAGGUAGAGUGCAUGGCUUUAGUCAUGAGGUUGUGGGUUUGACUCCUGCAGACGGUGAACGAAUCAAGUCUUUGUGUAUUGAUAUUAUUCUUGGUGGUUGUAGGUGUUUUUGAGACUGCGCUCAGGCUGCGUGGUAAACAUGAGAAGAAGUUUAAUAUGACCAAUGUUAUAUAGCUUUUUAAUAACCUAAACUUGAGUAAACCCACCAUUUGGAAAGUCGAGGAAGUUGAAUCCACAAAACUUCCUCUCUCUAAUAGCUUACACAUAUAUCUGGAUGUAAAAGCUUUUAUGGGACGGAGAGGAAUGAAUUUGAGUUCAGUACAAGAUUAUAUAUCCAACAUAUUUUUGAUGUCAGAAAA